rnacentral:lncRNA from 1 species
AUGAAGGGCUCCGGGGCUGGACAAGGGACAGAUGUGACCCCGAGGUCUCGGGCUGGGAAGAUUCUUUUUUUUUUUUUAAAAGAUCUUAUUUGUUUAUUCAUGAGAGACACAGAGAGAGGCAGAGACACAGCCAAGGGAGAAGCAGGCUCCCUGCGGGGACCCGAUGCGGGACUCCAUCCCCCGCCCGCGGAUCGCACCCUGGGCCGAAGCAGCCGCUCACCACUGAGCCACCCAGGCGCCCCCCGGGAGGACUCUGCCGCACGGCCAGGGCAGUCCCGGCUGGCGCAGCUCUUCGAGCCUCGGUUUGCCAUCUGUGAAAUGGGGUUGGCAGUGCCUUUCGCCCAGACGGGUUGGCCGAGAUGGUUUGGCCGCCAGGGCGCCCCGGCUCGGGUGGCCUCGCUCGGCAGCCCGGGGCGCGACGGCACCGGGAAGGACGCGGGGGGCCCGCGGGGUGUGAGUGCUCGGCGGCCGGGGAGAGGGGAUGGGGUGCGGCGCAGGGCUCUUCGGGGCACUCUGGCGCCACUGGUCGGCGACCGGGGGCUAAUUCGACCGCGACCCGGAGGCAAACGGCCUUUUCCCAAGCUCCGAGCGAAGUCCCGAGGUGUCACCGUCGCUCCACAGCUGCAUGAACAGAGCCCCGGGACCCCAAGGGCCCGCCGAGGCCAAGGCCCUUUCACUGACCCGGGAACACCUGCCCUCGGAAUCCUGGGGAACCUCCAGGGCUUCUCACCGGGCCGAGAAGAAAGUGAGGACCUCUCCCUCCUCCAGGAAGCCCACUCAGUGAUCCAAAAAAACAAAACACCAAAAAAGACAAAAAAAAAAAAAAAAAAAAAAAAAACCCCACAACAUGCCCAGAGCAGCCUGAGCUGCUCCAGGCGGGGCGCAACUCCCCUCGCCCCCCCCACCCCCACCCCCAGCUCCGAAUUACACUUUGCAGACACCCAGCCCGGUCCAGUUCCCCAGCCCGCCCCCGGCCUCCUCGGGGCGCCUCCGGUCCCCAGGGCCGACCUAACUGGGCAGCUCCUCCAUCCCGACACCUAG